CGCGGGAGAGCUCGGGGGAGAGCUCGACCCAGGACGACAUGAAGUGCCAGGUCGAGUGCCAGUCCAGGAUCGCGUGGUUGAACGCGCACCCGAUCGCCACCCCGUCCUUCAGCUUCGUGAACUGCACGAUUCACCACACCAGGUGUGUUUUUUUGUGUUUUGCUUUUGUAAUAUCCCUUAUGGCUCGGUUCAGGUUCUUGGUACUUCUGGUCGCGGAUCCGAGGUAACGUAAUCGGUAACCGAGGCUAGAGAGGUGAGAAAAUAAAGAUAGAAAUUGGGAUUGAGAUAGAGAGAAGAGAAAUAGAGGUAGAGAGAUAGAUAGAUGAGGAUUGAGAGGUGAGGGUUAGGAAAAAGAAUUGGGAUAGAGAUAAGGGAUAGAGAAGAAGAAGGGUUUGGAGAAGAACCUUUGGGGGAGAAAUAGACUAUUUCAUUUUCAUUCAUAAUUCUGUUUGCCAUACAAUCUCGUACUUAUACUUCUCAGGAUUAAUACUGGAAUGGAAAUUACAUAAUCUCUUAGGACUAAACAGCAAAGUGACCAAAAAUGAGAUGCUGAUUGGUUGGGCUGCCAUUCGGGGUUGUUGGGCCACCUCUCUGGGCCUUCCGGUCCGGUAGUGCUAGUGAGUGGGUAAACGGGUGCCGGACUCCUCCUUCUCCGCAUCAUCCGCGACCCUGCGGGUUUUGGGCUCGCCUUUUUCCUCCGCUCCGAAGGCUUGAGGCUCCGACCCGCCUGCUCUCUUCUUCGCCCCAAAAACCAAGAUCCGUCGGACUUCUCCUCCAACCUCGGUCCUUCUUCUGCUCUCUCUCCGCUCCGAGGACACCCAAGCUCCUCCGCCCCGCCAAGGCUCCGCCCGGGCCACCCUUCGCCAGCCUGUUCAAGCUCGCCGGUCUGCUCCAUCAAGCGCGCUUUUCCUCACUUGCUGCGGCCAUUAUUUCUGCUCUUACUAUUGUAAAGUUAGACAUUUUUACUUCCUUCCCCUGCUAGCUAUUAGACUACUUAAUACUUCAGGUCAUUACAAUCCCUUCCCCUUAAGUUCAUCCUUGUCCUCAAGGAUGGAACUUUUUGAACUGGUUUUGGGAUCACCCAUUUGCUUUCCCAACAGCACAUUCUUCUUCUUCAAAAUUGCUUCUUUUAAGCCAUGUUUGAACCUCUGUUCUGUUUUCUCACCCCACUUUGCGCCGGUUUGAGGUGUUUCCCAUUGUGUCCACAUUCGCCUAACACCUCGGGUUGGCAGCACGGACGGCGGCUCCUGCUGGGGCGGGGGCUCACCCUUGGGCCUUCAGGCAGUCGCAACCGGCGCGCCGCCCGACUUGUUUGCUCUGAGAUGUGGCAAAGUGUAUACUGGCAAAAUGGGAGCUCUAGAAUUUUCUCCAUAGUCUUGCUGGAAUGCUUGUAGGGUAAUAAUUCUGGGUAUAUCUGUUCUUCUCCUUCAAGAACUCCCUCACUUCUUCUUUUAUCAAUAUGGUGCUUCAUUCCCUGACACCAAUUCGUAUUCGGUUGCUCCUUAAGAUUGCACUUGACCUGAUCACUUUGCUUGCACCAACUUACAAUCAAGUUCACUCUAGCAUUCUCAGAAGGGAUUGAGAUUGUAGGGAAAUAACCCAAUUCUCUAUUAGAUUCUUUCAGCUUGGCUUGCUCAUAAGCCAAUGACAGUGAGCUAGGGUGAGGCAUUUUAAUAAUUGGUGCUACCCCCCUCUUAUACCAACUAACAAGGGUUGACCUAAGGCAAACUCCUGUCGGACCAAGAAUUUGACUUAGCACUUGUACCUGCAAGUCUUGUGAUCUCUCUUGCUGCCUUAGCAUUGUUGCAAAUUCCACCUCUUGUUGAUCACUGAUUUGUUGUAUCUCAAAGCAUUUCUUGUUCACUCCCAACAGAACUGCGACAAAUUCUUUCUCUUGAGUAGAAUCUUUAACUUCUCUAAGUGGCUUUUGUAUGCAAGCAUGUAAUUCCUCCAUUAUUGCUCCAGAUCUAAUCCGAUAGUGCCGAGCUUCUAUUACUUGUACUCCCUGCUUGAUUAUCAUUGGUAGCUUGAUUGGGGUGACAAGCCUUUGCGAAAAUCUUUCUUCAAUGCCACGAGUGGUCACCUUGUUAGGUCCUGGAUCAAAAGGCACUUGCCUAUAUUCCUUCAUCCAAUCAAUUCUAAGCACUAUGUCAGAAUUUUCGAGCCUCAAUUCUCUCGAAUCAGCAAAGAAUUUGUGUCCUGGCUCCUUUCUUGCAAACUGAGGGCAAGAAUUUUCGCUUAGCACCUUGUGCUCAGGGUCUGCUAUCACUAUCAAGGGUGCAACCGUAGUAAACUCAACUCUGGUAGCUUUUGCAAUCCCGAAGUCAAUGAGGCUAUGCAGGUUUCGAUCAUCAUUCAAAAUUAAUUGGGUUUGGUUACCUGACUCCUUGAUACUCCUAGCCUCGUAGACAUUUCCUCCUUCUACUUGUUGUGGCUCACCUUCUUCUUCUUUUGCUGUCUCAGAUUCAGCACCCAUCUCAACCUUUUUCUGGGCUUGUAACACAUGCAGGGAGCUAUUCUUGCAUUGCUUUUCUGUAAUAUAUUCCUUUCUACAUUCUAGGCAAUGCCAUUGCAUCGUUGUUCGCUUACUUGUAGCAGUCGCUUCUUCAAAAUCAUAAUGAAUACUCUUUUUAGAUCUGCGAGCUGUACUUUCCGCGAUUUCUCAGGUACUCCCUACUUCUGCUGAAGUAGAAUGGCCAUCUGGGGCAUUGUGGGCAGGCCCGAGUAGAGGCGGCUGUGUUGCGAGUAGCUUCAGCAGCUCCUCGGGCUUGCUAGCACGCUCGCUCAAUGCGAUCUCUGGUCUUCUAUUGAUCUCCAACUGUAGAUAAUCACCACACUCUUGCUCCGACCCUGCACUUCCAGCUUCCUGUAUGUGAUCAUCCUCCUGCACCAUAAUUUCAGCCCUCUUUGCGGCUUCACAAUUCUGUUGGCAGCUCUCUACCGAAUUGGUUUGCUCGCAAGUACUAAAUUCUCGGAUUGGGUACCCCUCUUUUGCCGCUGUAAAUCUUUUACAAAUUGCAUCGGAAAACUCGCUCCAAUUCACCCUUGGUCGAUUAAAGAAAUAUGCUUGCUUCCAAAACCUUGCAUCACCCCCUAUGUGCCAGGACGCUACGCCUAUCCAUUGUUGCUCAGGAAUUUGGUAUCGGUCAAAAUACUGCUCGCAAUUUCGCAACCAUCCUUUUGGAUCUGUUCCGUUAAAGGUUGGGAUUUGCAACUUCAAGUAUGGUAUAUAUUGUUGCAGUGGUUGGUUUCUUGCAGGCCUAAUUGAUGUGGGUGUUAGCCUUUCCCUCUCAAUAGGAGCUAGUAUUUUACUUUCCAUAUCAUUCUGUUGAAUCACAAAAUUGCUACUCGUGGAAUUGUCUUGUACGACUUGUCGGCCUUCUCUGAUUACCAAAGGGGUGUUCACUGACUGUGAGUUCGGCCCUAAAGCUGUCAGCAAAUCCACUAGCUGUUGAUGCAUUCUAGCACUCUCUUGCCGCAACUUUUCAUAGCUCGUGGCUUCUUCUAUUCGCAAGGCUUCGUACUUCUGCUGCCAUGUUUGUCGUGAACUAUCCAUUUGGCUGAAGUUACUAUAUCAAGGUUGCGAAUGAUGCUAUCUUGAGGCUUAGAUGCUGCUCCUAUCCUUGGACAGUACUAAUUCUUCUCUUGGUUUUGAAUUUGAAUCGGUUUUCGCUCUUUUUUUUUUUUUUUUUUUUUUCCAAUUGUCGCCCUUGGACGCUACUGUGAUUGCUUCACUCUUGUUUGGUCUGAAAUUAUAGCUUGCUACAGUAACUACGCCGAGGUGCCAAUGAUGCUAAGCUGAGGCCCGGUGCGAUUCUAAUUCAAUAGAAUCCGCACUAGUCUUUACUACUACCUCGGUACAGCCUUAGUAUGUUUCCUCUGUUGCUAAUUGUGCUAGUUGGAUGAUAUUACCUUGUGCACGCCAAUUGCUUGGGGUAAUUCCCCACAGCUGCUGAGCCUCCAACGGUCUUGCUCCUGUUGAAUUCCUGCUGCCCACGGCCCUGGGACAGUGCCACUCUGAUACCAAUUGUAAUAUCCCUUAUGGCUUGGUUCAGGUUCUUGGUACUUCUGGUCGCGGAUCCGAGGUAACGUAAUCGGUAACCGAGGCUAGAGAGGUGAGGAAAUAGAGAUAGAAAUUGGGAUUGAGAUAGAGGGAAGAGAAAUAGAGGUAGAGAGAUAGAUAGAUGAGGAUUGAGAGGUGAGGGUUAGGAAAAAGAGUUGGGAUAGAGAUAAGGGAUAGAGAAGAAGAAGGGUUUGGAGAAGAACCUUUGGGGGAGAAAUAGACUAUUUCAUUUUCAUUCAUAAUUCUGUUUGCCAUACAAUCUCGUACUUAUACUUCUCAGGAUUAAUACUGGAAUGGAAAUUACAUAAUCUCUUAGGACUAAACAGCAAAGUGACCAAAAAUGAGAUGCUGAUUGGUUGUGCUGCCAUUCGGGGUUGUUGGGCCACCUCUCUGGGCCUUCCGGUCCGGUAGUGCUAGUGAGUGGGUAAACGGGUGCCGGACUCCUCCUUCUCCGCAUCAUCCGCGACCCUGCGGGUUUUGGGCUCGCCUUUUUCCUCCGCUCCGAAGGCUUGAGGCUCCGACCCGCCUGCUCUCUUCUUCGCCCCAAAAACCAAGAUCUGUCGGACUUCUCCUCCAACCUCGGUCCUUCUUCUGCUCUCUCUCCGCUCCGAGGACACCCAAGCUCCUCCGCCCCGCCAAGGCUCCGCCCGGGCCACCCUUCGCCAGCCUGUUCAAGCUCGCCGGUCUGCUCCAUCAAGCGCGCUUUUCCUCACUUGCUGCGGCCAUUAUUUCUGCUCUUACUAUUGUAAAGUUAGACAUUUUUACUUCCUUCCCCUGCUAGCUAUUAGACUACUUAAUACUUCAGGUCAUUACAG
rnacentral:lncRNA from 1 species